CACUUGACCACUCACAGAACCUGUGAGUAGACCUGUGCAUUUGGGUUAUGGCAAGUUCUAUCUAAGUCUAACAUGUAUGUCGUGACUGUCUUCUCGUAUGUGUUGCUUAUCUACUCAGCUACUGUAGCUGUAAAUGUGAAAAUGUUUUUUUAUUUUAUGAUACAGGCUGAUGCAUCCCAGCUACCGAAACGCAAGGAGGUUGCUUCUCAAACUGAUGCCACUGCAGACUGUGGACACACGGCUACCUUGUAGAAGAGUUGUUGCUCACCUCAGGAGCAAAGAUUAUGUGGAAAAUGUGAUGGAGACCAUCUUCAAUAAAGUCCUGCUGGACCCAGGUUGUUAUAUGGAGGACCCUAUUAACAUCCCUGUCCCACUGGCCCUUUGAGCAGAAUUUAAGCAACCUGACACAGCUGCACUGCUUCCGAUGUCUUCCAAAACGUGAUGAGCAGAACAAAGAUCCUCACAUCUCCCCAGUCAACUGCCCAUGACUGUACCUGUUCCACUCCAGAAACUAUGCUUUCAACAUAACUAUGAAUCCUACCCGUUCAUUUUGUGGUCUGCAAAUUUAACUGUGAAGGUAACUUAUCCAGCAUUAUAGUGCUGGUGCAUUGGUUAACAAUAAAGUUGGCUUUGACUAUUGCUGUUUCACUGAACUAUUUUUCUAUGAGGGAAAACAGACAAAUGUUUUAUAAUAUUACAACUUUUA